rnacentral:rRNA from 1 species
AGUGAACGCUGGCGGUAGGCCUAACACAUGCAAGUCGAACGGCAGCACAGUAAGAGCUUGCUCUUACGGGUGGCGAGUGGCGGACGGGUGAGGAAUACAUCGGAAUCUACUUUUUCGUGGGGGAUAACGUAGGGAAACUUACGCUAAUACCGCAUACGACCUACGGGUGAAAGCAGGGGAUCUUCGGACCUUGCGCGAUUGAAUGAGCCGAUGUCGGAUUAGCUAGUUGGCGGGGUAAAGGCCCACCAAGGCGACGAUCCGUAGCUGGUCUGAGAGGAUGAUCAGCCACACUGGAACUGAGACACGGUCCAGACUCCUACGGGAGGCAGUAGUGGGGAAUAUUGGACAAUGGGCGCAAGCCUGAUCCAGCCGUACCGCGUGGGUGAAGAAGGCCUUCGGGUUGUAAAGCCCUUUUGUUGGGAAAGAAAGGCAGCAGGUUAAUACCCCGCUGUUCUGACGGUACCCAAAGAAUAAGCACCGGCUAACUUCGUG